UGGAUUAGGCAUGCAAGUCGAGCGCGAUAUGUAGCAAUACAUGGAGAGCGGCGAAAGGGAGAGUAAUACACAGAUAAUUACCCUCGAGCCUGGGAUAGCGGCGGGAAACUGCCGGUAAUACCAGAUAAAGUCUUCGGACCAAAGGUGUGAUUCCGCUUGAGGAUGAGUCUACGUCCUAUUAGCUAGUUGGCGGGGUAAUGGCCCACCAAGGCAACGAUGGGUAGCGGGUGUGAGAGCAUGACCCGCCCCACUGGGACUGAGAACUGCCCAGACACCUACGGGUGGCUGCAGUCGAGAAUCUUUGUCAAUGGACGAAAGUCUGAACAAGCGACGCCGCGUGCGGGAUGAAGGCCUUCGGGUUGUAAACUCCUGUCAUGGGGGGCGAGGCGGAGGCGGUUAACGGCCGCCCGAGUUGACGGUACCCCAAGAGGAAGCCACGGCUAACUCUGUGCCAGCAGCCGCGGUA
rnacentral:rRNA from 1 species